ACGCUGGCGGCGUGCCUAACACAUGCAAGUCGAACGAGGUCCAUCCUUCGGGAGAAGACCUAGUGGCGAACGGGUGAGUAACACGUGAAGAACCUGCCCCGAAGACCGGGAUAACCCUCCGAAAGGAGAGCUAAUACCGGAUACCCCCACCGAACCGCAUGGUUUGGUGAGGAAAUGGAUUCCGCUUCGGGAGGGCUUCGCGGCCUAUCAGCUAGUUGUGGGGUAACGGCCCACCAAGGCAUCGACGGGUAGCUGGUCUGAGAGGACGAUCAGCCACACUGGGACUGAGACACGGCCCAGACUCCUACGGGAGGCAGCAGUGGGAAUCUUGCGCAAUGGGCGAAAGCCUGACGCAGCAACGCCGCGUGGGGAUGAAGGCUCUCGGGUUGUAAACCCCUUUCAGCAGGGACGAAUCAAGACGGUACCUGCAGAAGAAGCCCCGGCUAACUACGUG
rnacentral:rRNA from 1 species